AACUUUUAGAAUCAUGCCCUAAUGCUUCUUGCCUAAGGUGGAAAAGGAAAAAGUAGAAGGCAAGUUAUCUAGCACGAUAUUAGCAGCAUGAUUGUUGAAUCUGAGAGAAGGGUUAAAUUAAAGACACCAGAUGGAUUGUUAGAAGCAUGAAAGUAUCGAUGCUUUAUCAGAGUUAUGGACAUGUAGAGGCUGCGAUAAAGAGCUAUAGACUAGCAUUGAUACUUCGUCCAGACUUUCUCGAAGCUACUUGCACUCUUCUGCACACACUUCAGUGUCUGCUAUUGGGAGGGUCGUGAUAAAAUGUUUAAGGAAGUUGAAGGGAUCAUCAGAUAGCAGAUCAAUGUCAAGACCAUAUGAAUCUACCCACGGUUGCAUGAGAACUUAGUUUUUGAAGAGUUAUUUUGUUAACUAGUUAAAUCAGAUCAAUACAAAGAAAUUAUAUUUUUUGGCUUAACAUUCACCAAACAGAUUCAAUCUUAUUAUUGGCGGUGAUUCUUGAGAGUAGAAGCUUGUUAUUCAUAUCAAUCAAGCCUGUUACUAUAUUAAUAUCCUAGAAGACGUUAACAUCUGUUCACGGUGUUCUUUUAGCAAUAUUGAUUUGUAUUGUCAUCAACUUUCUUUUAAGGUACUCUGCUUCAUAUGUAGUUUUCAAAUUCUGUAGCUCUUCAGUUUGCCAACUUUGAUUGAGUUCACUUGUCACAA